rnacentral:rRNA from 1 species
UACGAAGGGGGCUAGCGUUGCUCGGAAUUACUGGGCGUAAAGGGAGCGUAGGCGGAUAGUUUAGUCAGAGGUGAAAGCCCAGGGCUCAACCCUGGAAUAGCCUUUGAUACUGGCUGUCUUGAGUAUGGGAGAGGUAAGCGGAACUCCGAGUGUAGAGGUGAAAUUCGUAGAUAUUCGGAAGAACACCAGUGGCGAAGGCGGCUUACUGGCCCAUUACUGACGCUGAGGCUCGAAAGCCAGGGGAGCGAACGGG